rnacentral:rRNA from 1 species
GAUGAACGCUGGCGGCGUGCCUAAUACAUGCAAGUCGAGCGAAUGGAUUAAGAGCUUGCUCUUAUGAAGUUAGCGGCGGACGGGUGAGUAACACGUGGGUAACCUGCCCAUAAGACUGGGAUAACUCCGGGAAACCGGGGCUAAUACCGGAUAACAUUUUGAACCGCAUGGUUCCAAAUUGAAAGGCGGCUUCGGCUGUCACUUAUGGAUGGACCCGCGUCGCAUUAGCGAGUUGGUGAGGUAACGGCUCACCAAGGCAACGAUGCGUAGCCGACCUGGGAGGGUGAUCGGCCACACUGGGACUGAGACACGGCCCAGACUCCUACGGGAGGCAGCAGUAGGGAAUCUUCCGCAAUGGAUGAAAGUCUGACGGAGCAACGCCGCGUGAGUGAUGAAGGCUUUCGGGUCGUAAAACUCUGUUGUUAGGGAAGAACAAGUGCUAGUUGAAUAAGCUGGCACCUUGACGGUACCUAACCAGAAAGCCACGGCUAACUACGUGCCAGCAGCCACAGUAA